UACGUAGGGACCGAGCGUUGUCCGGAAUCAUUGGGCGUAAAGAGCGUGUAGGCGGCCCCUUAAGUCCUGCGUGAAAUCCUGGAGCUCAACUCCAGAACUGCCUUUGAUACUGAAGAUCUUGAGUUCGGGAGAGGUGAGUGGAACUGCGAGUGUAGAGGUGAAAUUCGUAGAUAUUCGCAAGAACACCAGUGGCGAAGGCGGCUCACUGGGCCCGGUACUGACGCUGAGGUGCGAAAGCGUGGGGAGGCAAACAGG
rnacentral:rRNA from 1 species